rnacentral:rRNA from 1 species
UACGUAGGGUGCGAGCGUUAAUCGGAAUUACUGGGCGUAAAGCGUGCGUAGACGGUUAUUUAAGUCGGGUGUGAAAGCCCCGGGCUCAACCUGGGAAUUGCAUUCGAGACUGAAUAGCUAGGGUACGGUAGAGGGAAGUGGAAUUUCCGGUGUAGCGGUGAAAUGCGUAGAUAUCGGAAGGAACACCGGUGGCGAAGGCGGCCCCCUGGUUGGAUACUGACGCUGAGACGCGAAAGCGUGGGGAGCAAACAGG